CCUACGGGUGGCUGCAGUAGGGAAUUUUUCACAAUGGGCGAAAGCCUGAUGGAGCAACGCAGCGUGCAGGAUGAAGGCCUUCGGGUUGUAAACUGCUUUUAUAAGCGAGAAAUAUGAUGAUAACUUAUGAAUAAGGAUCGGCUAACAACGUGCCAGCAGCCGCGGUCAUACGGAGGAUCCGAGCAUUAUCCGGAGUGACUGGAGGUAGAGAGUUGCGUAGGUGGCAUAAGAAGUAGCUAGUGAAAUCUGGUGGCUCAACCAUUCAGACUAUUUGCGAAACUGUUAAGCUCGAGACCGUUAGGGGUAACUGGAAUUUCUAGUGUAGGAGUGAAAUCCGUAGAUAUAAGGAGGAACACCAAUAGCGAAGGCAGGUUGCUGGGACUGUUCUGACACUAAGGCACGAAAGCGUAGGGAGCAAACGGGAUUAGAUACCCGGGUAGUC
rnacentral:rRNA from 1 species